UAAGCUUCACCUCUUUUAAAGUGCACACAUAGGAUAUAUUCCCAAAGGGGGAAGAACACUGAAAGGUAUCUCAAAACAUAAGCAGAUUCACAAGUGUUUUGAGCUCUAAGAAGCAUGGCUGGAAACUGUUUUUUGUUUUGUCUGUGACUCAGUGCUUCGUGACAUGAACUGACUGCUCAUACCAAAGUUGUUUGCAAUAGCACUGGACUCAGGAUAUUAGAGAGACAAGUCCUGUUUGGGGUUUCUUACAUGAUCUCCAGACAAUGGAACAUUCCAGAGGCGAGGGGUGCCGAAGAGAGGAUGUCUGAGCAUGCGCAACGCUUCUGCAGUGCACCGUGCCCAGGAACAGGCGGGUAGCAGGGGUACUGCUGGGCAGGCAGAGCCCACUAAAAGCUCUAUAGCGCCCCGUGGAGCUGCCGGUUCGAAUCUAGCCCCAGCAGGGAGGGUGGUAGUGGCAGUGGUAGUGGCAGUGCGACUAAUGGGGCGAAGGGCUGCAGGGAUUCUCGUGAAUCCCUCCAAGACUGAGGGGCGGCUGCUGGUCGGGAGACAAGGUAUUUGUAUCGCCACGGCGCCCAGCCCAGGGUGAGCCUGCACGGAACCUGGGUUGCUACUGAGAGGUGUGUGUGUGCAAUGAAUUUGUCAGUGCACAAGCUGUCAUCGCCGCAGUCGGCAUUAAUCUGCACCAUCGUUGCUAUUCCCGGAGGAUGCCAGGAUUAAUCUAAUUAGUUUAAAGAUGGAGUUUGAUAGAUUUAUGAGCUGGAUUAUAGGGGGUCGCCUGCAAUAACAAGGAAGUGGGCUCAGUGACCCAGGUGAUCCCUUCUAGUCUUAUGUACCUAUGAUUAAAUGGGAAACAAGACACUGAACUACCCCUCUCAACCUGCAGAUGGUUGCCUCCUGACCGUAUUUUGCCCCACAUUGGCUGGGGAAGGUGACACCGUUGCUGUCCAUGCGUCAGAUCCCCUGGAGCAGUUAAUCCAGCAUUUAACAAAAGUAAUCAUAACAUUCAAAGCUUGAGCGAACAAUGUCAAGUGCUAAAUCAAAUUAGAGCAUUUAGAAUUGUUUAAAUUAAAAUAAUAACUUAAUAAAAAAAAGAGAGAUUUAUCCUAUAGGCUGAAAGCAUUGUCUCUAGCAGAUUUUUAUCAAACAUUUAAAUGCUUGAAUUAUUUUCUUUAAAGUCAUUAAGUACAGAAAUGUGUCAAGGUUUUAUUGCUAUGCUCUACUGAUUUUUUGAAAGAGAACAUUUAUUGUAAUUUAAAAGGACAACAUUGAAUAAUUUUAUAAUGGAUUUUAGUUUUAUAUUUAAACAUUUGUUGUUUGUGCCCAAUUCUGUAAUUUGUAGGCUAAACUUCCAUUGACUUCAAAGGCAGUUUUGGAUGGCAGGGAAUACAGGAUUGAUCUCUCAAUCCCUGAUCCUGAGCUCUUAUUCCAGGCACUCAAUUCUUAUAAGGAUCAGGCCUGAUCCUGCAAUAUUUAGGCAUAUGUUUAAUUUUACACACUCUGAAUAUUCUCGUUGAAGUCAGUGGGAAAAUCACGUGUAUGACUCUUUGCAAAAUUGGGCUGAGAUUUGCAACAUGCUUUUUGAAAGUUGAAGAUAUUUCCUGUUCUUAGGGGUCUAUCCACGUGGAUUCCUUUACAAUUGGUGCCUCUAUUAUUCUAUUCGCUCUUAAAAUUUGGCAACAUUGAUUUUUCUCUCUCUGUAAUGUCAGUGAAGCCGAAAUUAACAUGGUUGUAACUGUAUCAUGAACAACAAAGCAUUUUCAUUUCCUAGCAUAUGUAUUUUAUUAUGCAAGAACUAGGAGCUGUUUUAAGCCCUACCUACACUAAUCUUUAAACAGACAGUGGGAACCAUGUUUAAAGUAAUUUCAUAAACAUAUUUCCAUCUAAAUGGAAUACAUUUUAAAACAUGGUUCUAAUAUGGUUGGUUACCAUCCGUGCAGCCUAUCCAGUGUUUAGAAACUAACUCUGUUGAACCCCAGUGUGGGUGGGCCCAUAACAUGGGCCCCUAGGUACUAUGAUAAUACAAAUAUAAAUGAUAUUAUAUAACAAUAACAUAUUAGCAGCUUUCUUUCAGUCAAUUUAUCCCCCAUUCUCCUACCUGAGUAGUGCUUCCACAACUGCCAGGAUGAGAGAGAAUGUUGUUGAGGGUGCUCAUAAUAUUGUCGAAAGACCAAAACAAGACAACCUCCUUUUCAGAAGAGAAACCCUAGCAGUAUUAUUAUUAUUAUGGAUUUUGGGAAACAAACUGUAUUUUAUAAAAUAAUGUUUUGUUAUUAGCCUUUAAAAAAACCUUGGUUGUCCUAUCAAAUUUCUCAGUACCUCCUACAUCUGUGUGCUACACUGGUCCCUGAAACUACCGCAGAUCAAGACAUCUUCAUUUUCAAGUGCACUGGGAUUACCAAAGGAUGUCAGCACAACAUUCAAUAUAACUGGCCUGAUCCCGUUCUAGAUUUGCCAUUUACUACACUUGGAGAAAGAUUGGGCCCAAUGUUUGCAUGUUAACUGUUGGUUCUGGAAUAUAAACAAUUUCCCCCCAAAUAGAAUUAAAGCCAGUGCAGAUUGUGCAUUACAUUAUUAUUU